UGCGAACGGGUGAGUAACGCGUAGGUAACCUGCCUACUAGCGGGGGAUAACUAUUGGAAACGAUAGCUAAUACCGCAUAACAGCAUUUAACCCAUGUUAGAUGCUUGAAAGGAGCAAUUGCUUCACUAGUAGAUGGACCUGCGUUGUAUUAGCUAGUUGGUGAGGUAACGGCUCACCAAGGCGACGAUACAUAGCCGACCUGAGAGGGUGAUCGGCCACACUGGGACUGAGACACGGCCCAGACUCCUACGGGAGGCAGCAGUAGGGAAUCUUCGGCAAUGGGGGCAACCCUGACCGAGCAACGCCGCGUGAGUGAAGAAGGUUUUCGGAUCGUAAAGCUCUGUUGUAAGAGAAGAACGUGUGUGAGAGUGGAAAGUUCACACAGUGACGGUAACUUACCAGAAAGGGACGGCUAACUACGUGCCAGCAGCCGCGGUAAUACGUAGGUCCCGAGCGUUGUCCGGAUUUAUUGGGCGUAAAGCGAGCGCAGGCGGUUUAAUAAGUCUGAAGUUAAAGGCAGUGGCUUAACCAUUGUUCGCUUUGGAAACUGUUAGACUUGAGUGCAGAAGGGGGAGAGUGGAAUUCCAUGUGUAGCGGUGAAAUGCGUAGAUAUAUGGAGGAACACCGGUGGCGAAAGCGGCUCUCUGGUCUGUAACUGACGCUGAGGCUCGAAAGCGUGGGGAGCAAACAGGAUUAGAUACCCUGGUAGUCCACGCCGUAAACGAUGAGUGCUAGGUGUUAGGCCCUUUCCCGGGGCUUAGUGCCGCAGCUAACGCAUUAAGCACCUCUCGCCUGGGGGAGUACGACCGCAAGGUUGAAACUCAAAGGAAUUGACGGGGGCCCGCACACAGCGGUGGAGCAUGUGGUUUAAUUUGAAGCAACGCGAAGAACCUUACCAGGUCUUGACAUCCC
rnacentral:rRNA from 1 species